GGUGGUAUCUGAGAGUCGGAAGAUCUUAGACGCCUGCGCAGAACUUUAAGCUUCCUAGUCUGGAACUUACCAUGGCCGGUUGGCUAUUUUUGAAAAAGUUGUGCCUCUGCACUCAGCAGGCAGAGCAGAGGUCUUUAUUUAGCCCAGGCCUGCAGGUUUCGCUUUGGAGGCAUCAAUCGCGCUUUUGCAAUUGACUGACUGAAAGAAAGUCUUUAGGGUGAAAAAUUUCUACUUUCUGAAGCUGUCUGAAAGUGGUAACAUCUGUCAUGCAAGGCUAGUUCAUCUCUAGGCGGUAUUUUACAUUUAGCAUUAGACCAAGCAGUUUUCACUUGACAAUGUCUUCCUAUUUAGUCAGCCAGAAGAAUAACAUGUCCCAAGGAUCCUGUUUUGCCUGUCUUUACAUUUUUCCCCUUGAGCUUUGGUUGUAAUCCUGAAGUUAAUUUUUUUUUUUUUUUUUUAGAGAAAGGUAACAUCACACACACAAAAGUAGAUGAUAAGAAUUUAAGAUCUCUGGACGUGUGCCUGUACUAACCUACUUGAGAGGCUCCUGUGGAUACUAAGCAGUUGUUCUGCCAUGGGCCUGCAUCUCCAGCAAGUGCUGACGUCAUUAAAAUAUUCACCACAAUCGCACUGCUUCGUGUAACCUAACAGUGAGCUUUGAACUUCUCUGAAACUUGGAAAGUAAAAGGCUCAAGCACGGAGUGGAGGUUCAAUAGAUGAGAAGGCCAACCCCAGUCACGGCUUCUUCCUUGUACACAACUGGGAUAUCUGUUUGACUACUCAGAGAUCACAUGAGGUCCCCAACAGUGACAAAUUCUACAGACAAUGAAACGGAAGAAAAGCAGACACACUGUCAGAGGAAAUGGCAACCUACUGCAGCCAUCAUGCCAACCACUGCAGCUUUUCAACAACCGAACAAGCGGGAGAUUCAUAUCUUGGAUGUGAGUCAUGGAAAUGAACCUGAACUGAGAGUCGCUUUCCAAAGACUAUCUCAUCACUGGGAUUCAGGCUGAACAAAGGAGUUAGAUUCACUUUUCAGGUCUCACAGGCAGGAGGCUGCAGGGUUACUAUUCAC
rnacentral:lncRNA from 1 species